rnacentral:lncRNA from 1 species
UUUUGCAUGGGCAGUGGAGUCCAAGUGACUCCUGUCUCUUGCUGUUGUUGCAGCUGCUGGGAGGAACAGCUGCCAGGAAUGGAAACAACGUAAAGGAAUAUCCAUGAGGAACAGGAGAAGAGGAAAUAAGGAGAAAUAUGCAUUAAAAUGAAAGAAGAGACACAUGGACUUGGAAUGCAAAAGGAGGGAAAUGAAUCUACACAAGACACAUUCUCCUCAAUUAAUGUACCUGAAUCAGAGUUUGAGGGAAGUGUCUCGAUCUAUUUGGGAUUUGGAGCACUGCUUCUGCUUCCUGGGGCACUGGCUCAUACACCCUUGACAGCUGCAUUUCAAUAGAACAAAGGAACUGUAAACCACAAGAAUAAGGCUUGGGAGCACAGGAGAAAGCACAUUUUUUGAGUCCGGCCUCUGAAUCUGCAAAUUGCUCCCACAAGAAAUCAUGGUGGCCAUAAACCUCAGCUUCAGAGUAAAAGCAAAUAACGCACUACUUGAGUCUAGUCUCCCUGACUUUCCUAAUAAAGACACACCAAAAUUCA